GUCUUCUUGUUCUGGGCACCCGUGAGGACAUUCAUCUGGUAUUUCGGGGUCCAAUCUGCUCAUGAAGUGGUUUAGUUUAUUGUGCCCGCUGCGUAACCGAAGCAUUGCUGUUUGGAUAUUUCGUUUCUUGUUAAUGUGCCAAGGUCCUUUUUCGUUUUUUUCGGAUUUCGGUGGCCAGUUGGUCAGCAAUUUCGUUUCCUGGUAUCCCAGCAUGUGAAGGUACAGCUGGACUUGCUUCCCAUUUGAAAUUUGAUAUUGCUUGAACAGCUGAUUUGGAAUCAGUGUAGAUGGUGACUGAGGGAAUUUCAUGCUCGUUCAGGCAUGGAUUCAAGGAUGAACGAGCCGUAGUCGUAGGCGCUCCGAAUCAUGGCUUUGAAGAUGCGAAUAAGGAGUGGCAGUUUCAAGUAGGUCUUGGAGUGGACCCUCUGCCUCUUUCUUCGUUUUAGCGGUGUAGUAGAUCGCGACGUCAUCGGCGAAGAGGGAUGUUUCGCAUCCGUUGACCGGCAUUGGAAAGUCCGCGAGCAUGAUGUUGAAUAGUAGGGGGCUGAGGACACUUCCUUGUGGUACUCCUUUGCAUAUCUCUCUUUCAUCAGAGAGGUUGUCAUCUAUCCGGGUUCUGAUGCUUCUGCCGGAGUCCAGUUAUCCAGACAUUGUCAUACGCUUUGGAUAUGUCUAGGAAGAUUGCUGUGGUGGAGUGGCUGUUGUUGAAGCCUCUUUUGAUUGCUGACUCUAUCCGGAUCAGGUUGUCUGUGGUGGUGCAUCCUCUACGGAACCCGGUCUGGACCUUGGGGACUUUACAGAGACAUGAAGUGAGGGAGAUUGGUCUGUAUGAGUCGGCGCCUCCUGCUGAUUUGUUUGGCUUUAGGGCGGGUGUCACAAUUGCGCAUUUCCACUCCUUCGAACUACACAAGUCACUCGUAGCAGACGAAAAAAUAGAUGAGUUGCUGCGUUUCACGAUCUCAACAAAUCUUAAAAAAGAUGUCGAACAGCCCUAUAGAAAAUGGAGAGAGACACCUUUCACAAUUCAGUUCCUAAAGAGUUGUUCCCCAAUAUUUUGUGCUACUGCAAAUAUACUUUCCAAGAAACGAAAAUGAAAAAGUAAGUUAAAAUAUUAAUAGCUUACAAU